rnacentral:rRNA from 1 species
UACAGAGGUCCCAAGCGUUGUUCGGAUUCACUGGGCGUAAAGGGUGCGUAGGUGGUGGGGUAAGUCGGAUGUGAAAUCUCCAAGCUCAACUUGGAAACUGCAUUGGAAACUACCUUGCUAGAGGAUUUGAGGGGGGAUUGGAAUACUUGGUGUAGCAGUGAAAUGCGUAGAUAUCAAGUGGAACACCAGUGGCGAAGGCGGCUCACUGGUCCGGUACUGACGCUGAGGUGCGAAAGCGUGGGGAGCAAACAGG